rnacentral:rRNA from 1 species
AAAGAUUAAGCCAUGCAUGUGUUCGCACAAGCCCUUGAAUGGUGAAGCCGCGAAUGGCUCAUUACAACAGCCAUAUUUUAUUAGAUCUUUACAUCCUACAUGGAUAACUGCGGUAAUUCCGGAGCCAACACAUGCUAAAAACCCGGACCUCUCGGAACGGGUGCAUUUGUUAGUACAAACCAAUCGGGCCUUCGGGUCCGCUUUUUGGUGAAUCUGAAUAACUUUGCUGAUCGCACGGUCUCGUACCGGCGACAAAUCUUUCAAGUGUCUGCCUUAUCAACUUUCGAUGGUAGUUUAUACGCCUACCAUGGUUGUAACGGGUAACGGAGAAUAAGGGUUCGACUCCGGAGAGGGCGCCUGAGAAACGGCUACCACAUCCAAGGAAGGCAGCAGGCGCGCAAAUUACCCACUCCCAGCACGGGGAGGUAGUGACGAAAAAUAACGAGGCGGUUCUCUAUGAGGCCCGCCAUCGGAAUGGGUACAAUUUAAAUCCUUUAACGAGGAUCUAUUGGAGGGCAAGUCUGGUGCCAGCAGCCGCGGUAAUUCCAGCUCCAAUAGCGUAUAUUAAAAUUGUUGUGGUUAAAAAGCUCGUAGUUGGAUCUGCGUUCGGUGGACGUGGUCGCCUAAUGGGUGUACUGCGUUUCCUGGACUAAUCAUUCGGUUUUCCCUUGAUGCUCGUAAUUGAGUGUCUUGGGUGGCCGGAACGUUUACUUUGAAAAAAUUAGAGUGCUCAAAGCAGGCGCUUCGCCUGAACAUUCGUGCAUGGAAUAAUAAAAGAGGUCUUUGCAGCCUUUUGUUGGUUCUCGCUGUGAGGAAAUGAUCGACGGGGACAGACGGGGGCAUUCGUAUUGCGACGUUAGAGGUGAAAUUCUUGGAUCGUCGCAAGACGGACUACUGCGAAAGCAUUUGCCAAGAAUG